rnacentral:miRNA from 1 species
GUCUGUGUGCAUGUGCAUGUACACGUGUGAACAUACAGACACACACACACACACACACACACACACACAUGCAGCAGGACAAAU